UACAGAGGUCUCAAGCGUUGUUCGGAUUCAUUGGGCGUAAAGGGUGCGUAGGUGGCGCGCUAAGUCAGGUGUGAAAUUUCGGGGCUCAACCCCGAAACUGCAUUUGAUACUGGCGUGCUUGAGGACUGGAGAGGAGACUGGAAUUCACGGUGUAGCAGUGAAAUGCGUAGAUAUCGUGAGGAAGACCAGUGGCGAAGGCGGGUCUCUGGGCCGAUAUUGACGCUGAGGAGCGAAAGCGUGGGGAGCAAACAGG
rnacentral:rRNA from 1 species